rnacentral:tRNA from 2 species
GCCCUCUUAGCUCAGUGGAUUAGAGCGUCUGCCUCCGGAGCAGAAGGCCGCGGGUUCGAAUCCCACAGAGGGCACCA